rnacentral:rRNA from 1 species
UACCAGCUCUCCGAGUGGUAGGGAUGAUUAUUGGGCUUAAAGCGUCCGUAGCCGGCUUAGCAAGUCUCCUGUUAAACUCAGCGACUUAAUCGUUGAAUCGCGGGAGAUACUACUAGGCUAGGAGGCGGGAGAGGUCGACGGUACUUCCGGGGUAGGGGUGAAAUCCUAUAAUCCCGGGAGGACCACCAGUGGCGAAGGCUGUCGACUAGAACGCGCUCGACGGUGAGGGACGAAAGCUGGGGGAGCGAACCGGAUUAGAUACCCGGGUAGUCCCAGCUGUAAACGAUGCGGGCUAGGUGUUGGAAUGGCUACGUGCCAUUUCAGUGCCGCAGGGAAGCCAUUAAGCCCGCCGCCUGGGGAGUACGGCCGCAAGGCUGAAACUUAAAGGAAUUGGCGGGGGAGCACCACAAGGCGUGAAGCUUGCGGUUC